rnacentral:rRNA from 1 species
GACGUAGGGGGCAAGCGUUGUUCGGAAUUAUUGGGCGUAAAGCGCUCGUAGGCGGGAUUGGAAGUCCGUGUUGAAAGACCUCGGCUCAACUGAGGGACCGGCUCGGAUACUCUAAUUCUUGAGGCAAUCAGAGGAUGAUGGAAUUCCCGGUGUAGCGGUGAAAUGCGCAGAUAUCAAGAGGAACACCAGUGGCGAAGGCGAGUCCCUGGACAACACCUGACACUGAGGCACGAAAGCCGGGGGAGCAAACAGG